AGGGCGCGCGGCAUCCUGGGAUAUGUAGUCUGGCUGGAACCAGAGCGCCCCCUCAAAUGAAUGGGGUCGGAGCUGAUAGUGAACUACAGCUCCUCUGGCCGGGAGCGUUGGUGGCGGCGCCGGGCAAGAGCGGUGCUCCGGAAGGGACUAAGUUCUGUGCCACCGCCAAGGUAGUGGUCUAGGCGGGCGCUUUCUCCGCGCGCGCGCUCCCCUUCCCCGCGCCCGCUCUUUGCGGUGGGCUUGGUGUUCGCUGGCUGCUGCAGUAACGUGAUCUUCCUGGAGCUCCUGGUCAGGAGUGAAGGCAAAGUCCCUGGAUAUGAGUCUUUGACUGACUGUAGUCUUGGAGAUUCCUGCUCAGGAGGAUAUAGAAAUGUUUCUAGGAGACCUGAGCAUGAGCUGUAUAGGCUGACCAGGAUCCUGAAUGAAGUCCUCUUGGUUACGAAGCAUCCAGGAUGCGGGAACAUUGUGACAUUUGCACCAUUUUUAUUUAUUGCUGUGGAAGGCUUCCUCUUUGAAGCCAAUUUGGGGAGGAAGCAGCCAGCUAUCCCAAUAAGGUAUGUACAUUGAAGUCUCUUUUAGCCUUGUUUGUCUUAAAAUAACAUUGCCUAAAAAUCCAGAAACACCAGUCAGAAAGAAUAUAUCCACCCCUAUGUUCAUAGCAGUGCAAUUUACACUAGCUAAGAUUUGUAAACAGCCCCAGUGCCCAUCAGCGAGAUGAGCAGAUAAAAAGGCUGUGGUACCUUUACACACUGGAAUGCUACACAGCUGUAAGAAAAGAAAGAACUCACCAUUUGCAACAGUGGGCAUGAACCUGGAGCGUAUUAUGCUAAUCUGAAUAAGCCAGUCAGAGAAAGAUAAGUAUCACAUUAUCUCACGCAUUUGUGGAACCUAAUGAACAAAAUAAACCGAUCCAGAGGCAUAAAAGCAUGCAACAGGCUGACAAACUUCAGAGGGAAAGGGGGGGUGAGGGGUGGAAGGGGAAGAUUCUCUGGGGAACUUAUAUGCAUUUAUGUAUAACCCAAGAACACA